UUCUGAUUUUUGCGAUUUUCGUUACAAACAUUUUCAAUUUGAAAUAAAUUUUGUUCGUUUAAAUUUUGUAAUGAAUAAAAGAAAGUGUCAAUUGUGGAUAAAAUAUUUAAGUUCAAAGUUGUUGUAUUUUAUUUUAAAAACAUAGAAAAUACGUCUUGUCUUAUUAUGAUGUACGAUAUUUAAAGUGUUUUUUUUAAAAAUAAUUAAUAAAGCAAUCAAUAAAUAUAAAGAUAUAUAUUAAUAAAUGUAUUUGAUUGGAAAAAAAAUCAAAUAUUAAUUUUAAAAAUGAAUAUCCGAACACCACAAAAAUCACCAUUAAAAUGUAAAAUUGAAAAUGUGAAAAAUGAAAUUAAAUCUGAUAAUGAAACGGAAACUAUUCACAUGAAUUUGGAUGAUAAUAAUUUUUUCACACCAUCAAAAUUAAAUAAUGAUCUCUUUGAUACAUCAUUAUUGGAUGAGAAUGAAAUUGUAAAAAUGGUUCAUAAUACAGACAAUAUACUUGAUUUUGAUAGUAUACAACUUCCAAAUAAUUCAACAAUUUUAAAUUAUUCUUCAUCUUUUGAUGAGAAUUUUAAUAAUGAAAAUUCAAUGAAAAUAUCACCUGUAGAUCCUUUAUCACUUGACAAUGAAAAUAUAAUUGAAUCGAAAGAAAUAUUUGUCAAUAGAUCAAGGCCAAGAAAAAAAAUAAAUUAUAAUGAUUGUUAUACUGAAUCUGAUGAAGAUUCUUCAUUAUCAGAGAAAGAAAGUGAACAAGAUAAUUAUCAUGAUAAUGAUAAAGAAGAAGAUGAAGAAGAAGCUGAAGAACUUUUAAACAAACUUUUCAAAGCUCGAGAGAAAAAUUUAGAAAAAGAAAUUUUAUCAUCUGAAACAAUUGAAAGAUUAAACAAUUUAGUGAUCAGAUUAAAACAUGUUGUUCCUCCACAACAUAAAGUGGAAAAUUCAGCUGGCUCAAGAACACUUAGUAUAAAAGAAUGUAAGGAAUUUGAUAAAUAUUCUAAAAGAAUAAAAACUAAAUUUUCUGUAAAGGAAGAUGUAAUUAUUAAAAAAAAUUGGAAAGAAUUUUGCAAGAUUCAUGACUGGGAUGAAAAUGAUGUACAACCUUUUUUGCUUCUGAAACAUCAGGGCAAAAUAUAUAUAUCCAGUUAUCUGGAGAGAAAAAAAUUCGUUCAAUUUUUAGCCAAAGGAUUACCAUAUCGAACUUUGUUUAGUGUUUACAAAAGGUUUCGAUAUUUAUUUAGUAAUCGUAAUUUAAAAGGACGAUUCACACCUGAAGUGGAUAAAAAAAUAAUGAUUUUCAUGAACUGUCCGAAAACUGAUAAGAAUAAAAAAAUUACUCAACUCUCGAAAAUUUUAAGUCGAACUCACGAGUCGAUUUUUCGAAGGUUUAAACAUUUAUUGAAACUCAAAAAUGACAUUAAAAGUGGAAAUAAGAAAAAAUUUCAGCAAAAAGUUGAGUGGACAUUGGAAUUAACAGAAUGUUUUUUAGAGAAUUUAAUGAAGUUUACUUUAAGUAAAAAUAUUAAAGAACUGAAAAAUCAAAAAAUUCCUCAAGUUAUUUGGAAUGAAUUAAAAAAAAAGAUGAGAAUUGAAGUAAGUGCUUUAAAAAAUUUUUGGUUCAGGAAAUUACAUGUGCAACUAUUUUCAACAGAUCCAAUUUAUUUGACCAACAUAAAAGUAAAAUUAAUUGAAAUCUUACAUUCAUCUGAUAUAACGAAUGUUAAAGAAAUUGAUUGGAACGAAAUGUUAAAUUAUUUUGAUGGUUUGACUAUAAAUUUUCUUUGUGACAUCACUUAUCGAAUGCUUAAGCAAACUAAAAAAGAAUUAGAAUCAUCAAAUUUUGUCGAAUGUGUAAAUUACCUGUACGAGAUAAAAAUUCCUCAACUAAAAAAUAAUUUUAAAGAUAAAUGUUUACCUCGACUGUGUUAUAAGAAGAAAAAAUUGACAAUUUUCGAUGAUAUCGAAGAAAUUGAAUCUAACAAUAAUGAGCUAUCAAAAGAUGACUCAAGAAGAUCGUUGAAAAAUUUUAAAGAGAAAAAAAUUAAUUAUCCAAAAAAUAAAAAUCUAAAUUGGACAUUAUUAUUACGUGAAAAAUUUUUAAAAAUGCUUCUCAAAUUAAUGAUUAUCAAUGAUAUUGAAGAAUUAAAAGACGCUUUAAUUCCUGCGAUUAUUUGGGAAAAAAUGUCAAAAAAUUUUCACGUUCAUCAUAAGAAAUUAGAGAAUUUGUGGUACAAUGAAAUGCACAUGCAACUUUAUUCUCCAAAUCCAAUUUAUUUGAACGAUUUAAAAAUAACACUGAUAAAAUUAAUCCACGGGAAAAAUAUUAAAAAUAAAAAAGAAAUAAAUUGGAAUGAAAUUGUUACUUCUUUUAAUGGAUACACGACAAAUUUUCUUUCUCAAGUUUUCAAUGAUCUCGUUGAUGCUGCAGUUGAAGAAAUCGAAACCUCAAAUUUUUCAGAUGUUAUGAAAUAUUUGUAUGAAACAACAUUGAUGAAAAUAAUAGAAGAACCAAAUGAUAAAUUUUUGCCUCGAAUAAUUUUUGAGAAUGAAAAAAUUCAAGUGAUAGACGAGAAUCUUGAAAAUAAUGAGGCUUAUACGAGAGAAGAAUAUUAUAAAAAUGAAAUUACUGAUAAAUCAGAAAUUGAUUUAUCGAUGAGAGAAGAUUUUUUAAAAGUAUUACUUCAUUUAAAUUUAGAUACAAGAAUAGAGAAACUUAAAGAUGCUGUGAUUCCAAUGGUUGUUUGGGAAGAAAUGGAAAAUCAACUUAAAAUUGAUAAAAACAUUUUACAAGAUUUGUGGUACAAUGAAUUACAUUUGCAAUUUUUUUCCCCAAGUUUCAUUUAUUUGAAUGACAUAAAAAUUAAUUUAAUAGAAUUAAUCUACAAAAGGAAUUUAACUGAUGAGAAGAAAAUUAAUUGGAAUGAAAUUUGUUCUCAUUUCGCUGGAAUGACGAUUGUUUUUCUUUCUGAAAUUUUUCAUGAACUUGUUAAUUUUGCUUCUGAAGAAAUCAAGUCUUCAAAUUUCUCUGACAUUAUGAGAUAUUUGUAUGAAAUAAUGUUGUUGAAAUUAAAAGAGGGAAAAUUUGACAAAUUUUUACCUCGAAUAAAAUUUGAGAAUGACACGAUUAAAGUAAUUGAUGAGAAUUUUAAAAAUAAUGUAAUUUGCAAGAAUGAGACAAAUAUUGAAACGACAAUUGCAAAUAAAUCAGAAAUAGAUUUAACGGCGAGGGAAAAUAUUUUAAAAACAUUAAUUCAAUUAACAGUAAACACAAAAAUAGAAGAUUUAAAAGAUGCUGUGAUUCCAACGGUUGUUUGGAAGGAAAUGGAAAAUCAACUUAAAAUUGAUAAAAACAUUUUACAAGAUUUGUGGUUUACUGAAUUAUAUUUGCAACUUUUCUCACCGAAUCCAAUUUAUUUAAAUGACAUAAAAAUGAGUUUGAUAGAAUUAAUCUGCAAAAGACAAAUAACGGAUGAAAACAAAAUAAAUUGGAAUGAAAUUUCUUCUCAUUUCAAUGGAAUGACGACAAUUUUUCUCUCCAAAGUUUUUCAUGAUCUCGUUGAUACGAUAACAAAAAUAAUAGAUUCAAAAAAAUUUUGUGAUAUUCUAGAUUAUUUACAAGAAAUAACGUUUGAUGAAUUAAAAAAUGUUGCUUUCGAUCAACAAUUACCUCGAAUAAUUUUCAAGAAUGAAAGAAUAAUCAUUCUAACCGAAGAAAUGAAAAAUGUUCUGAAUUGAGAGAAAUAAAUAAUAAAUAUUUUAGAUUACAUACAAGAAAUAAUGUUUGAUGGGAUGAAAAAUAUUGCUUUCCAUCAACAAUUACCUUGAAUAAUUUUCAAAAAUGAAAGACUAAUCAUCAUAACUGAAGAAAAGAGAAAUUGUUCUGAAUUGAGAGAAAUAAAUAAUAAAUCGUAAUAGUCCACCGAAAGAUGGUCCAACUUGUUGAAGGAAAAAUCCUGGAUCAUCAGUCUCUUUGUUAUUUCCUAAAGAAGAAGAGGUUUCUGACAUUUCCGUUUCGUGUACAAAUAACAGAGACGUCCGCCAAUCGUUUUAUGGAAUUCAAUUUUCAACAAUAUCAGCAAGAUGAGAUAAGAAAAAAAACAACCGUCAAUCCUGGAAAUAAUUUUGUAAAAACAUCGGAAGAAAAUUUACUAUGAAUUAUUAAAGGAAACUAUAAAUUAGUCAUCAAAGAAUUUAAAUUUGAGUGAGUUGCGCGCCACUUCCAAUAAGGAAAUAUUGUCAGCCAAUCAGGGCCCAGCAUUCAUAGUAUUCCACCACCUCCAGCGUCGCGCGCCACUUUCUAGUAAUGUAAUAUUUUCAACCAAUCAACGCACGGCGUUCAUAGCGGAAAGAGUGCCCCACCACCUCCAGCGACACUUUUUGACUUUGCAGCCAUUUAGUCCGCCAUGAGCCACGUGCCGAAGAAGAUGUCCUGAAUUUUGGUGAGUUUUUCUCUUUUACGUAACCCUGAUACCACCUCCUUUUCCAGGAAGUUAACCAGGUGAAGUUCCAUACUUAAUCUGUUAACUUCCAGUUAAAUUCCAUGCAUGUCUAAAUAUUUCCCUUCUUUUUCUUUCCUUUGUUAACUUUCUAGUAUUUAUCAAUUAUUUACUAGAAAAAUACAAAGGAUUUUUUUUGUGAAAUAUUAAAGUCUAAAAUUUAAAGAUUGUGGUUUAAAAUUUUUUUUAUGAAACUGUAACUGGCACAUGGUUAUCAGCCCCGAGUUAAUUUUGAAAAAAUUUAUGUUAGCAAUAACAUAAAUAAAGUUAAUAAAAUUAAUUUUAUUAACUUUAUUUUUGGUAUUGCUAACAUAAAUUUUUUCAUAAUUAAUUCGGGGCUGAUAGCCAUGUGCCAGUUACAGUUUCAUAAUUUUUUUUAAAGUAUCCAAUCAAAGUACUUUAAAUAAUAACAUUUCAAUUUCCUCGAAAAUAUAAAUUUUUUAAAAAUGAGAUAUUUUACUUAAAGCUGACAACCUUGAUUUGGUUUUUUUAAUACCUAUUGUUUCUUUAAAUAUAUAUUAAUUUAUUAAAAAUCUAUUAAACAAUAGAAAAUAUGUUUGUACUUUGUAUUAAAUUUAAUAUAAAGUAUUCACCUAUUUUUCUUCAUUUUAUGGGUUUUUAAUAAAAUAAUAAUUUUAAAAAUACAAGAGGUGGUUGUCCGCUUCAUUUAAAAAACUCCAAAUGUCAUUUGAUAAUUGAGUGGCUGAUAGCAAAAGCGGGUUAAAAUUUAAGUGCGAUCAAAAGUGGGACGAAAAUAUUGCGAGCAUAAAUGAGUUAAAAUAUUUUAAUUAAUUAAUCUAUGCUGUAGAAACAUUUAUACUUUUUAUAGUAAUUUCAAGUUUUAAAAAUUUAUUUAAAUAAUAAUUAUAAAAGAAAAGUCAUCAAUAAAUAAUAGUCUCCUAAAUAGAUAAAUUAAUCAAAAUAUUUUAACUGUUUUUUCUUGCAAGGCUUAAAACCCAUUUUUACUUAAAUUCAAAUUAUAACCCACUUUUACUAUCAGUCCCUUAAUUUAAAUAAAUAAUUUAAAAAAAGUAAAAUAACUUAACAAACAGAGGAAAUUCAAAUGUAAAUAAACAUUUAAAAUACUUUGAAAAGAUACUUUGAAAGAAAAAUUUAAAACUAUAAACAAUCUUUAAAGCUUAAAAAGACUUUAAAAUUUCAGAAAAAAAUCCUCUGUAUUUUUGUAGUAAAUAAACAAUUGAUAAAUACAAGAAACUUAAGAAAGGAAAGAAAAAAAGAAGGGAAGUAUACAUAGACAUCCGUGGAAGAUAACUGGAAUUUGCAGAAUUAAAACAGGAACAGACCAUGGUUGACCGAGAGGAAAGGGAACCGGUAGAAGGGAAAGUAAGAGAAAGACUCCACCAGAAGAAGGAAUGGACGUUAUAAAUGAAGGACUACAACAAUAUGUACAACAUGAAUUAAUAAAAUGUUUAUUAAAAAAAAUUUAUCAUAGUUAUUCUUCGACAGUCUCCUGUGUCCUCCUCUCUCCUCCUUCGAACCAGGUGCCUCAUGUCCUGAGAUUUGGUAGAGUACUUCUUUUACUUCUCCCUUCUACCGGUUCCUUUUCCUCUCGGUCAACCAUGGUCUGUUCCUGUUUUAAUUCUGCAACUUCCAGUUAUCUUCCACGGAUGUCUACAUAUACUUCCCUUCUUUUUUUUCUUUCCUUUCUUAAGUUUCUUGUAUUUAUCAAUUGUUUAUUUACUACAAAAAUACAGAGGAUUUUUUUCUUAAAUUUUAAAGUCUUUUUAAGUUUUAAAGAUUGUUUAUAGUUUUAAAUUUUUCUUUAAAAGUAUCUCUUCAAAGUACUUUAAAUGUUUAUUUACAUUUGAAUUUCCUCGGUUAGUUAAGUUAUUUUACUUUUUUUAAAUUAUUUAUUUAUAUAUUUCUUAUUUUUUGCUUUAUUUAAUUACUUAGUAUUUUUGUAUGAAUAUUAUUCUUUAUUAUUAUUUUAUUGUUAUUUUUACUAUUUAUUAUUUACUAAUAUUUUUGACUAUAAAAAAAAUUUAUUUUAUUUAUCUUUAGACAAUAAUAUUCAUACAAAAGUAUUAAUUAAAAAAUAAAGUAAAAAUUAAUUAUAUAUAAUUAAAUAUUAUAUGUGACCUGGACAGUGAAAAGGGGGCCUACGUGCGAAAAAAUCGAUUUUUUAUUGAUUGGUGAUUCUGACAGAAAAAACUUUUUUUUAUCAAAAUUACUAAUCAAUAAAAAAAAAUUUUCGCACGUAAGCCCCUUUUUCACUGGUCAGGUUACAUAUAAAUAUGUAUUUAAAUUAUCUAAUGAUAUUUAGGGCCUUUUAAAUGAAGCGGACAACCCCCUCUUGUUUCUUUUUAUUAUUAUUACUCUGAAAUAUUAUUAUUAUUUUAUUAAAUAUCCAUCAAACGAAGGAAAAUAGGUGAAUAUUUUGUAUUAAAUUUAAUGACGUCAAAGCAACUAAAUUUAAAUCAAAGUAUACAAAUAAUUUCCUUUGUUUAAUGAAUUUUCAAUAAAUUAAUAAUAUUUAAAGAAACAAUAUUAAAAAAACAAAAAAAAAAGGUUGUCAGCUUUAAAUAAAAUAUCUCAUUUUUAAAAAAUUUAUAUUUUCGAGGAAAUUGAAAUGUUAUUAUUUAAAGUACUUUGAUUGGAUACUUUAAAAAAAAUUAUGAAACUGUAACUGGCACAUGGCUAUCAGCCCCGAGUUGAUUAUGAAAAAAUUUAUGUUAGCAAUACCAAAAAUAAAGUUAAUAAAAUUAAUUUUAUUAACUUUAUUUAUGUUAUUGCUAACAUAAAUUUUUUCAAAAUUAACUCGGGGCUGAUAACCAUGUGCCAGUUACAGUUUCAUAAAAAAAAUUUUAAACCACAAUCUUUAAAUUUUAGACUUUAAUAUUUCACAAAAAAAAUCCUUUGUAUUUUUCUAGUAAAUAAUUGAUAAAUACUAGAAAGUUAACAAAGGAAAGAAAAAGAAGGGAAAUAUUUAGACAUGCAUGGAAUUUAACUGGAAGUUAACAGAUUAAGUAUGGAACUUCACCUGGUUAACUUCCUGGAAAAGGAGGUGGUAUCAGGGUUACGUAAAAGAGAAAAACUUACCAAAAUUCAGGACAUCUUCUUCGGCACGUGGCUCAUGGCGGACUAAAUGGCUGCAAAGUCAAAAAGUGUCGCUGGAGGUGGUGGGGCACUCUUUCCGCUAUGAACGCCGUGCGUUGAUUGGUUGAAAAUAUUACAUUACUAGAAAGUGGCGCGCGACGCUGGAGGUGGUGGAAUACUAUGAAUGCUGGGCCCUGAUUGGCUGACAAUAUUUCCUUAUUGGAAGUGGCGCUCAACUCACUCAAAUUUAAAUUCUUCGAUGAUCAAUUUAUAGUUUUAAUCAAUAAUUUAUAGUAAAUUUAAAACAAAAUUAUUUAUAAUACAAUCAAAAAAUUAAAUAUUGCAAUAUAAUAUUACUUAAAUUGGAAAUUUUUUUUAAGGUAUAAGAAUUUUUUUGUAAACAUGAUUGGUUUGAUACUUUUUUUAUAAAUGUAAGGAACAAUGGCACAUUAUAGACAUUAAUAAAAACUUAAUCGUAUUUUCUCAA